rnacentral:rRNA from 1 species
UACGGAGGGUGCAAGCGUUAUCCGGAUUCACUGGGUUUAAAGGGUGCGUAGGCGGGCAGGUAAGUCCGUGGUGAAAUCCCCGAGCUUAACUCGGGAACUGCCAUGGAUACUAUUUGUCUUGAAUAUUGUGGAGUAAGCGGAAUAUGUCAUGUAGCGGUGAAAUGCUUAGAUAUGACAUAGAACACCAAUUGCGAAGGCAGCUUACUACACAGUUAUUGACGCUGAGGCACGAAAGCGUGGGGAUCAAACAGG